UACGAAGGGUGCAAGCGUUAAUCGGAAUUACUGGGCGUAAAGGGUGCGUAGGCGGUUCGUUAAGUCUGUCGUGAAAUCCCCGGGCUCAACCUGGGAAUGGCGAUGGAUACUGGCGAGCUAGAGUAUGUCAGAGGAUGGUGGAAUUCCCGGUGUAGCGGUGAAAUGCGUAGAGAUCGGGAGGAACAUCAGUGGCGAAGGCGGCCAUCUGGGACAACACUGACGCUGAAGCACGAAAGCGUGGGGAGCAAACAGG
rnacentral:rRNA from 1 species